UACGUAGGAUGCUAGCGUUAUCCGGAUUUACUGGGCGUAAAGGGUCCGUAGGUGGUCUUUCAAGUCGGUCGUUAAAGGAUACGGCUCAACCGCAUUAAGCCGCCGAAACUGGAAGACUUGAGUGCAGGAGAGGAAAGUGGAAUUCCCAGUGUAGCGGUGAAAUGCGUAGAUAUUGAGAAGAACACCAGUAGCGAAGGCGGCUGUCUGGACUGGAACUGACACUGAGGGACGAAAGCGUGGGUAGCAAACGGG
rnacentral:rRNA from 1 species